AGUGAACGCUGGCGGUAGGCCUAACACAUGCAAGUCGAACGGCAGCACAGGAGAGCUUGCUCUCUGGGUGGCGAGUGGCGGACGGGUGAGGAAUACAUCGGAAUCUACUCUGUCGUGGGGGAUAACGUAGGGAAACUUACGCUAAUACCGCAUACGACCUACGGGUGAAAGCAGGGAAUCUUCGGACCUUGCGCGAUUGAAUGAGCCGAUGUCGGAUUAGCUAGUUGGCGGGGUAAAGGCCCACCAAGGCGACGAUCCGUAGCUGGUCUGAGAGGAUGAUCAGCCACACUGGAACUGAGGCACGGUCCAGACUCCUACGGGAGGCAGCAGUGGGGAAUAUUGGACAAUGGGCGCAAGCCUGAUCCAGCCAUACCGCGUGGGUGAAGAAGGCCUUCGGGUUGUAAAGCCCUUUUGUUGGGAAAGAAAUCCAGCUGGCUAAUACCCGGUUGGGAUGACGGUACCCAAAGAAUAAGCACCGGCUAACUUCGUGCCAGCCGCCGCCGUAA
rnacentral:rRNA from 1 species